CAUGCAAGUCGAGCGGUAGCAGGGAGAAAGCUUGCUUUCUCCGCUGACGAGCGGCGGACGGGUGAGUAAUGUCUGGGGAUCUGCCUGAUGGAGGGGGAUAACUACUGGAAACGGUAGCUAAUACCGCAUAACGUCGCAAGACCAAAGUGGGGGACCUUCGGGCCUCAUGCCAUCAGAUGAACCCAGAUGGGAUUAGCUAGUAGGUGGGGUAAUGGCUCACCUAGGCGACGAUCCCUAGCUGGUCUGAGAGGAUGACCAGCCACACUGGAACUGAGACACGGUCCAGACUCCUACGGGAGGCAGCAGUGGGGAAUAUUGCACAAUGGGCGCAAGCCUGAUGCAGCCAUGCCGCGUGUAUGAAGAAGGCCUUCGGGUUGUAAAGUACUUUCAGUAGGGAGGAAGGUGUGAACGUUAAUAGCGCUCACAAUUGACGUUACCUACAGAARAAGCACCGGCUAACUCCGUGCCAGCAG
rnacentral:rRNA from 1 species